rnacentral:rRNA from 1 species
AGCGAACGCUGGCGGCAGGCCUAACACAUGCAAGUCGAGCGAAGCCUUCGGGCUUAGUGGCGGACGGGUGAGUAACACGUGGGAACGUGCCUUUUGGUUCGGAAUAACGCAGAGAAAUUUGCGCUAAUACCGAAUGAGCCCUAAGGGGGAAAGAUUUAUCGCCGAAAGAGCGGCCCGCGUUGGAUUAGGUAGUUGGUGUGGUAAAGGCGCACCAAGCCUACGAUCCAUAGCUGGUCUGAGAGGAUGAUCAGCCACACUGGGACUGAGACACGGCCCAGACUCCUACGGGAGGCAGCAGUGGGGAAUCUUGCGCAAUGGGCGAAAGCCUGACGCAGCCAUGCCGCGUGAAUGAUGAAGGUCUUAGGAUUGUAAAAUUCUUUUACCAGGGACGAUAAUGACGGUACCUGGAGAAAAAGCCCCGGCUAACUUCGUGCCAGCAGCCGCGGUAACAC